UAAGGCCUACGGGGCGCAGCAGUAGGGAAUUUUCGUCAAUGGGCGCAAGCCUGAACGAGCAAUGCCGCGUGAACGAGGAAGGUCUUCGGAUCGUAAAGUUCUGUUGAAGGGGAAAAAGAGCGGAGAGAGGAAAUGAACUCCGAUUGAUAUUACCCUUCGAGGAAGUCACGGCUAACCACGUGCCAGCAGCCGCGGUAAUACGUAGGUGGCGAGCGUUAUCCGGAAUGAUUGGGCGUAAAGGGUGCGUAGGCGGCCUGCUAAGUCUGGAGUGAAAGGUACCGGCUCAACCGGUACAGGC
rnacentral:rRNA from 1 species